UACGAAGGGUGCAAGCGUUACUCGGAAUUACUGGGCGUAAAGCGUGCGUAGGUGGUGCGUUAAGUCUGUCGUGAAAGCCCCGGGCUCAACCUGGGAAUGGCGAUGGAUACUGGCGCGCUAGAGUGCGGUAGAGGAGAGUGGAAUUCCCGGUGUAGCAGUGAAAUGCGUAGAUAUCUGGAGGAACACCGGUGGCGAAGGCGGCAUCCUGGACCAAUACUGACACUGAGGAGCGAAAGCCAGGGGAGCAAACGGG
rnacentral:rRNA from 1 species